rnacentral:rRNA from 1 species
GACGAACGCUGGCGGCGUGCUUAACACAUGCAAGUCGGACGGUUGGCACUGGGAGGUUCGCUGGAAGGUGCUGAUAGUGGCGGACGGGUGAGUAACGCGUGAGGACAUGUCUGCAGGAGGGGGAUAACGUUUGGAAACGGACGCUAAGACCCCGUAAGCCGGGAGGUGAAAGUGGCGAAAGCCAGCCUGUGGAGUGACUCGCGUCCUAUCAGCUAGUUGGCGGGGGGAAGGCCCCACAAGGCGAUGACGGGUAGCCGACCUGAGAGGGUGGCCGGCCACACUGGAACUGAGAUACGGGCCAGACUCCUACGGGAGGCAGCAGUGGGGAAUAUUGGGCAAUGGGCGGAAGCCUGACCCAGCGACGCCGAGUGGGGGAAGAAGUCUUUCGGGAUGUAAACCCUUGUUGUACGGGACGAAGGAAGUGACGGUACCGUACGAGGAAGCCCCGGCAAACUACGUGCCAGCAGCCGCGGUAACAC